AUACAAUGUUGAACCACGAGAUGAGCACGCGAGACGCCAUAUUGAGCGAAUGUUGAUUGAAUGCAGUUUAGGUGUUUACGCGGUUUGAAAUAAAACCCGUGAAAAAACGUAUCAAUUGUCGUAUAACUCGACUGAAAUAUUAAUAAGCGAUUAGUUCAGUGUGACAAUUAUAUUACACGGUAAUAAAAUGAGCGGUAGCGACGGCGAGGAUGGUCAAUGCAACAGGACGAGAGAAAGCAACGUAGUAGCGAUGGAUGACGUUCUUGUUAAGAAACACACUGACGAUAUUCUUCAUGAUGGAUGCAUUAGCUCUGAGGACGAUUUCACGCGACAGGAAAGUGAUUGGGCUGUUAAUUACAUGGAAGAUGCUGUCAGAUCUCCUGUCGUCGCGGACUCGGUUCCUGUCGCGAGCGUGGCACUUGACGAAAGCGUGGUCGAUGAGUUUGUCAAGGGCGCGAGAGGUCCCGACAACAUGGAACUGAACACGAUGCAAAUGAGGCCGAAGACGGUUAUUGAAAAUUCGAAUACUACUGUGAGCCUUGAAAACCCCUUCAGGGGUAAGGAAAUGUGUUCGUGUAAUGUAUGCAAAGCAAAAAGAGAAUUGCUUGGAGAAGAAUUGCAAAAGGCUAUAAAGUUUCAAAAUCUAUGGACAGAAUUGCGUCAACAUAUUCGAGGUUCCUUUAAUAUUGCCUUAGAAGCUUCUCGUAUUCCGGGAGGUUUACAAUUUCAUCAAACUCCAUUUUCAGCUGAUGAUACGCACAAGAUUGUUUUGCAAUUAUGUAAAAGGAAUCCUCAUCAAUUAUUUAUGAGAUUAGUAAGCUUGGCGCAAGAAUUUGUUAUAGAAGUAAAAGUUCAUUUAUUAGCUCUUUUACAUGAUCUUAAUGUAAAUAAUUUAGCAGAAGUUUUUCUUACAGGUCUUUUAGAUGAUUAUGAUGCAUUGAUAACAACAGCUGUAAAGAUUUCUAAGUUUGUAAAACUUUUAAAAGAUCAUUUGGGUAAAUUCUAUUAUAAAUUUCCUUUACCAUGGACUGCUUUUAUUAAAAAAUUAUAUCAAAUUUAUAUAUAUGAUGAUCCCUUUAUACAAGAUAAUUUACCACCUUUUAUUGGUCAGGUUUUACAGUUAAGAAAACUUUUGCCUUUAAAAGGCUCGGAAUAUCAACGUCUUGUUCAUCGAUAUUUAUGGUUUGACAAAGAAAUGACGGUAAUUAGAGAUCUUUGGGCAGAAACUGAAUCAUGGAUGGACAAGUACAAUGCAGAACAAGCAUGUCGAAUGACCCAUCUUAGACAAGUAAGGGAAAUAUUCACAGCAACUAGCAAACUUCUGGAACCGCGUAUGUUAAAUAAAACGCCUGACAUUGGAAAUGAAUUUCAAGAAACAGAUGGACAACUUUUGACGCUUACAUCACAAGCAAAAGUUGAUGUAUCAGAAAUGGAUAAUAGGUCUUUAAGUCCUACUCCAGAUUUAAGUUUGGAUUCACCUGAUAUGCCUCCAAGUAUUGAGAUACUACAAAUUUUAUUAGAUGAUUGGAGUAAAGUUGUAAAAUCACUACGACAAAAAUUAUCCGAUGUAGCAGGUGCACAACCUGUUACAGAUAUUUACACUAAUGGACAGGAAGAUUUUUUUGAUUAUGCUUGUGCAACUUGCCAUUUAGUACAGUCUGCAAUGAGAUCAGUCAAGGCCCAAAUCGAAGGAACUUGUUUGGAAAAUAAUGUAGAAGAAGGAAAAAGUUGCGAGUGUCAUAUGUGUAUAGGACCUACAAUAUCUUCUACUAUUAAUAAAAGUGAUACUGAAAAUAUCAUAUUACCAUUAGAAAAUCCCUUUCCACAACUCACAAAUGGUUUUUUAGAAGACACAGCUAAUUUUUCGGCAACACAAGUAAAGAAAAAACUAGAAGAUUUAGAAAUAAAAGAAAUAAAAAAUGAUGGAAAUGAAAUAAAUGUAAAUGAAGAUAUUGAUUUAUGGACAUCUGAUACACAACCUUGUUCAUGUGUAUAUCAGCAUGUAAGAGAAAUAACAGAAAGAAAAAUGGUGCUAGAAAAUCCACCUUGUUUGUGUUUAUUAAACUCCAAGCGGAAAAUAUGGGAUACUUGUCCCUGUCUAACAAAAUGCGUACCUGAAACGGUUGUAUCAAAUGGUCAUUCAAAACCAGUAUCGCCGUCUACUAUCAAAACUAAUCAAGAGCCACCUAAACCUGCAAUAAAAUCUGGUACUACACAGUCUGCUCAAACGCAAACGCGACAUUCGACAACUCAGACACCAAAUACCACUCAUAAUCACACAACACAUCAAGGUACCACUCAUUCUCAUACACAUGGACCUCUUCCAGAUUUGGUAAAAAAUAUGGGUCCCACUCAUAGAUCUCAUACACAUACCAAUCAUUCGUCGCAUGUCUGUCAUAAACAGGCUAAUGUUGAGCAUAUUAAAAGAGUCUCGUGUAACGAUUUGAGUUCCGGAGAUGGAGAUUGUUCGGAUUCCGGAAGUAGUCAGGAGGAUUCUUGUUCUACCAGUAGUUCAGCACAAAGAGAUUCUAGUAGACAUUGCGAUUGUUGUUAUUGCGAAGUAUUUGGCCAUGGUGUUCCUUCAGUAGCGCCCGUUAGUAGAAAUUAUAAUGAAAUGAGAGAACGUUUACGACAAUUAUUAACAAAGAAAAAGGCUAGAAAAUGUAAAGUUACGUGUAGUCCUUCGAAAAGUCCCUCAGAAUCAGUGGUAUCUGAUACAAGCACAGAAACAAAAACAGUAACAAAUAUCAUGCCUAGAUUAAAUACUCCAGUUUCGACUGUUUCUGUAGUUCAAACAGAUCAACGAGAUCAAAGAGAUCUGGAAGAACUUUUAGAAUUCAUUGAAGGUAAUCAGAAUGGAAAAAAAGAUAACAAUAAAAAGGCUGAGAAAAAAGCUAGGCAGAAGCAACGGAAGCUAGAAGAAAAGCUUAAAAGAGAUAGGCAAGAGGCAGAAAGACAAAAACUAAUAGAAUUACAGAAAAAGACACCAGAAGUAACAAUCACUGUUGUAGAUCCACAAAAACCUGUUCCUCAAAGAUUAUUACCUCAGUGUAAUCUACCUGAAGUAUCUAUUUUACCUACGUCACCUCCAGUAGCAUUGCCGAUUAUAAAACAAUUAAGUAAUAAAAAGAAAGACAAACAAGAAAUCUGUAGCAAUAGUAGUAAUACUAGUAGCAGUAGUUGUAGCAGCAGCAGUAGUAGUAUUAGUACAAGUAGUAUAAAUACCAAAACAAAGACUGCACCUGUGAAUAUCAAUAUAAAAAACAAAAGUAUUAAUAAAACUGAUAAAACAAUGGUCUCAGGUCAGAUAAAUAAUAAAAUAGCCAUUAAAAGUGACAAAACUGAAAUUAGCAAUAAAAAUAAAAUACAGAUAAACAGUAUCAAUAGCACAAAUAUGAAAAAUAAUACUGUGGAGAAAUCAUUAACUAUUGAUUUAAAUGAUAAAAAAUUGACAAAGAAAGAGAGAAAAAAGUUGAAAAAAAGAAUGAAGAAAAUGGAAGAGGUAAAAGCAAAAGAAGAAACAAAGAAACCUGUUCAGACAGAAACUCAACCUCAGAUUGUGACAAUUAAAAGAGUUAUGGAAUCUAAUAAUGCAGAACCAACAGUUACGAUCACAUUAAAAGGUCAAACACCAGCUGAAGAUAAAGUUUUGUUUACAUUGGUAAAUGGUCAAACAAAAGAAGUUGCCAAUUUGAAAUUGGAGAACGAACAAAAUCAAAACAUCAGCGGAAAGAAAAAGAAAACUAAAACAAAUAACAAUAAUAACAAUUAUACUAAUAGCAAUAGUAAUAAUUCAUUACAACAGGGCAAUAAGCAAAUGAAUAAUUCGAAACAACAAAUACAGAAUAAAAUUUGUGACGGUAAGAAUAAUAUAAAACAACAAUCAAAUAAUGAUAAAAGCAAAGGAAAACAAUUAGAUGAUAAGAAGGUUCAACAGAAUAUCACGAAAUCUAAAAAAGACAAAAGAAAUACAGAAAAUAAAGAAAAUGUGUUACAACAAAACGUUGUAAAUAAGAACAAAAAUCAAUCGCAAAAUAUAUCUGGAAAAAAGCAGAAUAAGAUGAAUACUCCACCUCAAACACCAACUUCACAAAAGUCAUCGCAAAACUUGAAUAUCAAUAAUGAAAAUAAUAAGAAAUCGAAAAUUCAGUCGCAAGAUAAAAAUGGACAAUUAAGUUCCAAUAAAAAUAAUAAAAAUACAUCUAAUAUCACUAUUAAGCAGACAAAGAAUGAUACUCAAAAAAUUCAAACUAAAAUGACAAAUCAGAUAAGUAUCAAACAACGAUCGGAAGUACAGUCAGUAUCCACUGAAAGAAUUAAUUCACCAUUGAGCAGUCAAUUCAAGGAUAUUGGUGUAAAUUCUAAAAUUAAUAUAGAAAAUUUAAAAUUACCACCUGGUAUUACGAUAACGAAAGUAGAUGCUCCUGCAAAACCUUUACCAAUCAGAUCUGCACCUCUGCCUAAACCAGUAAAUCCACCGAAACAAACCACAAUAAUCGCUGCACCAAUGAGCGGUGUUCAAUCGAGUUAUGCAAGUUCUCAGGCAGGUGGCAAUGUGAUUGUAGUAGAUACAGGAAAAUUGAAACAAGAUCUUUUGCCUAAAUCCAUAGAAAAAGACAUGUCUAAAGAAACACAACAAAAUCAGAGCAGUACUAAUAAAAAGAAAAAAAAGAAGAAUAAAAAUACUGUAAAUUCCAGCAAUAUAUCAAAUCAAACAAUAGUACAAAAUAAUGAUCUUUUCAUGAAUGAUCAUGCAGAUGAACCUGCUAGAAUACUUCAUAACCCAAAUACUAAUAUGGUGACUAUAAGAAAUCCUGCAUUUGGCCCAAUGAAAGUGCCACCAACUCAACAGGCAGCCAUUAUAAAAGUAUCGGAAAAUGGUAUGGUUACUAUUAGGAGCCCUGCAUUACAACAAGCAAUUAAUGCAGGUCUUACAUCACCUCCAAAACCAGAUUAUAUUGUGAAAGGCGAUCUCCCGUCCAAAAUGGCGACGGAGAAUUCAAAUUUGAAACAUACUAAUGGUAUUAUUCCGUCAAGUUUGGCAGAAUUAAGAAGCAGAUUGACUCCAGAUUGCACAACUUUAAGUGGUCUAGCUAACAUACAAAUCAGUAAAGUAACAAAUGGUCAACCAAUACCAGAAAAUGGAAUUAAUUUAAAAGGAACUAGUGUAACAUUAACGAAAGUGAGAACGGAACCUAGUAUGGAAGACGUACAAAGUGCAAAAACAGCAGUUCGAGAGGCAAUAAACGCCACGAUAGCAGCAUCGUCUACUGGGAAGAGUAAGAAAAAGAAAAAACGCGGAGCCGGCACAAGACAAUAUGGCGAUGACUGGAACCUCGUUGGUGAGAAACAACAAUAAUCAAAGUUUAACAUGAGAGGGCAGUGUACCGCGUUAGGACCAAGUCUCAAUCGCAGGCUAUAGGUCGAAAGAGAGAAAAUUUAAUCAAAUGUACCGGGGAUGUGUACACUUCGGGAUCUCCUCGAAUUGGCCACCACGAAUUUCUAGGGGGAUUGACCGGAAGAGAGAACUCUGGGAUAGUGAGCACUAUCUUUUCUUUAUUUUCCUUCCGCUUGUUCGCGCGCAUCGACUUCAUAUUUCAAUUCGACCAAUCAGAGAGCGUAUUCACGCCUAAAGAUAUAGACCUCGAGGACGGGGAGAUGGACGAUGCGGAGCGCGAAUUAGAGGCAUUCAAGAGGUUUUGUCUGCAGUCGGUACCGCCGCCACGCAAGGAAAAGGUCAAUCUCAACAUCAAGGACAUCGUGCUAAAGAAGAAGUCAUCCUCAUCAUCGUCAUCUUCAGCAGCUACUGCUGUGAUUGCCGCGAAUUGAUUUUUCUUUUGACUAACAUUAGACGCUCCCUACCAUUAUUAUUAUUACCAUCACCACUAUUAUUAUCACUACUGCUGCUACUAUAUUCGCGCAAGCGCGUAUAUGUUUAUUGGCUUGACGCAGAAUUAAUAGAAUUAAUAAUUUCUAAAUACAAGCACAUGUUGAUCAAAAAAUUAUUUCUUUACAAAAAAAUCAAUCUAUUUAUCAUAGAUCAGACAAUAAUAUAUUAUACUGUAUUGUCAAAUUGUCUGGUGAUUAUUUUAUACGAAAGCGUACCACUUCCAACAUCAUUCUCCUUUAUGGAUGUUCACAUUACUCCGUAGGCAAAUUCGUAGCACGCAAGGUUAAUUCUAGCUUGCAGACCGCACUGCGUGCGCAUAAUAUGCGCGCGCAACACUAUUCUAGAGUUGAUUUUGAAAUUGUGAUUUUAUCAUGAAGAAUAUUGCAAAAUAGAUAUGUAGUCUGCGUGCAUUUUAAUUAUGUACGAGUUAGAAAAAAAUGUGCUCUUUCGUUAUGCAUAUGAAUUUAAUCAUUAAGAGAAUUCUGCUACUUUUGCAUCGAGCCAAUUACUGACCGAAUAUGUAUUGUAAUACUGCCACGGCCGAUACGCGUAAACACACGACCGACCGAAAACGCUCGUCGAUUUUUCGGAUCUCGGCGACGGAGUUGCGCCUAAUUGUUAUGAACGAUCAUCAAAAAUGAUGGGAAAAAACGCAAUGGGAUAAAUAAUAUAAAUGUACAAGAACAGCCACCGCAGUACGAUACUGACGAUGUUGUAAAAGAGGAGUAAUAAUAUUGUCGUCGUGUCGUCGUCGUGUCGGCACCUAGUCGACUUCAUAUUUUUAAUAUAUUAAUAGAGCGUGUUAUGUUCGUGAUUUUUCUCUUCGAUACAAGGAAGAGAUAAACAGCGAAAAAUUGAUACUAUUAGAUAAAAUGUACGCGAAAGAGAUGGGUGACGCGUGGCAUUUUCCUCGAGACACAGCGAGAGCCGUAGAUAUAAUAUGUUAUAUAAAUAUAAAAUGUAUGUAUGUAUAUGUAUAUCUAUAAAUAUAGUAGGAACGAAUUUUCCCGUCGAGGUCGAUAUUGUGGAAAUAUCUGCCCUCGAUCGUAAUUGCGAAAACGAUCAUGGUGACACUGACAUAUAGUGUCUGGACGCGAUACCUGCCCGAAUCAUGGUUCGAUUAAUAAAAUCGUUCUCGCCAUACGAGCAAAGAAGGAUCGAUAACAAUGCGAAAUAUUUUUCGUCGUAAUACCGACGAUCGCAUCGCGUCGCCACGAUCGUGAUCGCCGGCUUAGAAGCACAGUUCUCGAUCGAUUAUCUUACUAAGACACGACACCACAGUACACAUGGAGACAUCUUUUUUCUUCAUUUUUUCUUUUUUUUUUUCUUUUUUUUUUCAAUAAAAGCAGAUAUGCAUUUUUACCAAAGAUCUUGCGUUUGUAUCUUCUUCCUUAUUAUGGAUUUAUUUCCUGUGGUGCAAUUUGACGAUGGUACAUGUUUUUCGCACUUUGUAGUAAAAGUCGUAUUUUUGUAUGGACUUUAAGAUAAUCUCACUAGCGAUAGGUGAGUUAAAAGAAUUUUAAUAAAGAUCAAAGAUAUCAGGUUGAAAAAUUGAAAAAUGGUUUAUUAGAUAAUUUGUUAUAUUGCAUACUGUGUAGAAAAUUGGUUUCAAUAUAUUUUCAGAAACGGCA